GGCUCACUAGCUCAAUUGGCAGAGCAAUUGACUCUUAAUCAAUCGGUUCAGGGUUCAAGUCCCUGGUGAGUCA
rnacentral:tRNA from 1 species